GUGGGGAAUCUUGCGCAAUGGGCGAAAGCCUGACGCAGCCAUGCCGCGUGAAUGAUGAAGGUCUUAGGAUUGUAAAAUUCUUUCACCGGGGACGAUAAUGACGGUACCCGGAGAAGAAGCUCCGGCUAACUUCGUGCCAGCAGCCGCGGUAAUACGAAGGGGGCUAGCGUUGCUCGGAAUUACUGGGCGUAAAGGGCGCGUAGGCGGACAGCUUAGUCAGAGGUGAAAGCACAGGGCUCAACCUUGGCAUUGCCUUUGAUACUGGCGGUGUUGAGUUUGGGAGGGGUGAGUGGAACUCCGAGUGUAGAGGAGAAAUUCGGAGAUAUUCGGAAGAACACCAGUGGCGAAGACGACUCACUGGCCGAAUACUGACGCUGAGGCGCGAAAGCGUGGGGAGCAAACAGGAUUAGAUACCCCGGUAGUCC
rnacentral:rRNA from 1 species